rnacentral:rRNA from 1 species
AACGAACGCUGGCGGCAGGCCUAACACAUGCAAGUCGAGCGAACCCUUCGGGGUUAGCGGCGGACGGGUGAGUAUCGCGUGGGAAUGUGCCCUUCUCUACGGAAUAGCCUCGGGAAACUGAGAGUAAUACCGUAUACGCCCUUUGGGGGAAAGAUUUAUCGGAGAAGGAUCAGCCCGCGUUGGAUUAGGUAGUUGGUGGGGUAAUGGCCUACCAAGCCGACGAUCCAUAGCUGGUUUGAGAGGAUGAUCAGCCACACUGGGACUGAGACACGGCCCAGACUCCUACGGGAGGCAGCAGUGGGGAAUCUUAGACAAUGGGGGCAACCCUGAUCUAGCCAUGCCGCGUGAGUGAUGAAGGCCUUAGGGUUGUAAAGCUCUUUCAGCUGGGAAGAUAAUGACGGUACCAGCAGAAGAAGCCCCGGCUAACUCCGUGCCAGCAGCCGCAGUAA